rnacentral:tRNA from 1 species
CUCAAGUAGCUUAAUAAAAGCAUUACAUUGAAGACGUAAAUAUGGCGACUGCCCUAGAGU